GAACGGGUGAGUAACACGUGGGAACCUACCUCUUAGCAGGGGAUAACAUUUGGAAACAGAUGCUAAUACCGUAUAACAAUAGCAACCGCAUGGUUGCUACUUAAAAGAUGGUUCUGCUAUCACUAAGAGAUGGUCCCGCGGUGCAUUAGUUAGUUGGUGAGGUAAUGGCUCACCAAGACGAUGAUGCAUAGCCGAGUUGAGAGACUGAUCGGCCACAAUGGGACUGAGACACGGCCCAUACUCCUACGGGAGGCAGCAGUAGGGAAUCUUCCACAAUGGGCGAAAGCCUGAUGGAGCAACGCCGCGUGUGUGAUGAAGGGUUUCGGCUCGUAAAACACUGUUGUAAGAGAAGAAUGACAUUGAGAGUAACUGUUCAAUGUGUGACGGUAUCUUACCAGAAAGGAACGGCUAAAUACGUGCCAGCAGCCGCGGUAAUACGUAUGUUCCAAGCGUUAUCCGGAUUUAUUGGGCGUAAAGCGAGCGCAGACGGUUAUUUAAGUCUGAAGUGAAAGCCCUCAGCUCAACUGAGGAAUUGCUUUGGAAACUGGAUGACUUGAGUGCAGUAGAGGAAAGUGGAACUCCAUGUGUAGCGGUGAAAUGCGUAGAUAUAUGGAAGAACACCAGUGGCGAAGGCGGCUUUCUGGACUGUAACUGACGUUGAGGCUCGAAAGUGUGGGUAGCAAACAGGAUUAGAUACCCUGGUAGUCCACACCGUAAACGAUGAGUGCUAGGUGUUUGAGGGUUUCCGCCCUUAAGUGCCGCAG
rnacentral:rRNA from 1 species